AAUAAUGAAAUGAUUGUUACUAAUUCUAAAAUUUCCAUUAAAAUUUUUUUUAUUUGUUCUCUUUUCCCUGGCACAGAGCUAACUGACCUGGUGUCAUCUGUUCCUAGAAGACGAAAGGCAAAUAGUGAGGCCCAAACUCCAACGGGAGCCUGGCUUCAUUGAUUAGGCCAAAUGUGUUUCGGAAUGAUUGGUUUCUAACCCACAAGCUGAUAUCUUACCACCCAAUGAGCAAUGGUAUGCAAAAAAAGUAAGGUGCAAAGCAUGCUGCUCUGAAAACUGUGAGAAACAAAGAUUAUGAGGUCCUGAGAAGCUGAGCCUACUUGUACCUUGUCCCCAGCUGGUUGGAAAGCUCCUGUAACUUAGAAAUAAAUGCUGCAUUUAAGAGACCUCCAAAGCAAGCUCCUGUUCCU